AAACAGAUUAAUAUUUCUGUACUCGAUAUAAUUGCGAUGGGGGGACGGAGCAGGCUAAACAAGCAUGGCGUUGGUAGUCCAUGUGAAAGUGAGUAGGUUGGUGACUUAGGUAAAUCCGGGUUGCUAUUAAGACUGAGACACGAGACGAGUCACUAAGGUGAUGAAGUUGUUGAUGCCAUACUUCCAGGAAAAGCCUCUAAGCUUCAGAUUAUAUGGAAUCGUACCCC
rnacentral:rRNA from 1 species